GGUUCCUAGUCACUGCUCGAAUGCCCUAGAAUUUCUAUUGUCUUGCCCCAAUUCAAGUUCAGUGUCACUACCCUGUGUUGUUCCUGCAUUUGAUUUCAUCAAAUUCGAAUCCUGCUGCAACCAUUGUCAUUACUAUAGGAAAAUUGACGCUAUUGCAAAUUAGGAAGAAAAGGGGAUUGUCGCGUUUAAAUUCCACGAUUUUGGCUAAUCGAGGAACCGGAUGAAGAAGCAUUAAGAAGAGUUAUACUGCGUUUGGUUUAUAUGUUGUUAUAUUAAUUAGAUUAUUUUCUUCCCUUGUCUUUGUUAUUACAAGUUUGUAAGAGGGAUAGGAAUUGUAUGUUUUAUAUGUAUAAUAUAUUGAGUUAUUAUGUAACGAGUCUUGUAUAUGAAGCUAUGCCGGCUUGUUUUUUUUUAUUUAUUAA